rnacentral:rRNA from 1 species
UACGGAGGAUCCAAGCGUUAUCCGGAUUCAUUGGGUUUAAAGGGUGCGUAGGCGGAAUUGUAAGUCAGUGGUGAAAGCCUGCAGCUUAACUGCAGAAUUGCCAUUGAUACUGCAAAUCUUGAGUACAUUUGAUGUGGGCGGAAUGUGUCAUGUAGCGGUGAAAUGCUUAGAUAUGACACAGAACACCGAUUGCGAAGGCAGCUCACAAAACUGUAACUGACGCUGAGGCACGAAAGCAUGGGGAUCGAACAGG